AAUGAACGUUGGCGGCAUGGAUUAGGCAUGCAAGUCGAGCGAGAAGGGUUUUGAAGCUCGCUUUAGAACCCGGACAGCGGCGAGAGGGAGAGUAACGCGUAGUUAUGUGCCCUAGGGUCCGGAAUAGCCACGGGAAAUUGUGGGUAAUGCCGGAUAAUAGCCCCGGAUCAAAGGUGUGAUUCCGCCCUAGGAGCAGACUGCGUCCUACUAGCUAGUUGGUGGGGUAAUGGACCACCAAGGCAACGAUGGGUAGCGGGUGUGAGAGCAUGACCCGUCUCACUGGGACUGAGACACUGCCCAGACACCUACGGGUGGCUGCAGUCGAGAAUCUUCGGCAAUGGGCGAAAGCCUGACCGAGCGAUGCCGCGUGCGGGAUGAAGGCCCUCGGGUUGUAAACCGCUGUCGUAGGGGAGGAAGAUUUCGUGAAGAGCGAAAUUUGACCUAUCCUAGGAGGAAGUACGGGCUAAGUUCGUGCCAGCAGCCGCCGCCG
rnacentral:rRNA from 1 species